AGCAGUCGCCGCGGUAAUACAGAGGGUGCAAGCGUUAAUCGGAAUUACUGGGCGUAAAGCGUGCGUAGGCGGUUUGUUAAGUCUGCUGUGGAAUCCCCGGGCUCAACCUGGGAAUGGCAGUGGAUACUGGCAAGCUAGAGUGUGUCAGAGGAUGGUGGAAUUCCCGGUGUAGCGGUGAAAUGCGUAGAGAUCGGGAGGAACAUCAGUGGCGAAGGCGGCCAUCUGGGACAACACUGACGCUGAGGCACGAAAGCGUGGGGAGCAAACAGGAUUAGAUACCCCGGUAGUCCCUGUCUCUUAUAC
rnacentral:rRNA from 1 species